AUAUUCACAUAUACAUCUGACAGGAAGAAUUUUUCUGUUUGUAAAAUUGUUAGAUAUCUACACUAGAAAAUUUCAGAAAAUCCAACAAAAGGGGGGGGUGUCACAGACCAACUUAAGCCCCUCCAUACUUCCCUUGGUCCUUUCCUUAUUUUUACUACUCUGCCCUCAUAUAUGCAAUGGGAUCCUCUACCUCAGGUCUGCCUCUUACCCUUCCUGGGUGGUUUAUCUCGCUGCCUCUUCAUGACUGUGUUAUGGUCACCCGGGAACUUUCUUUGACCUUGUAAGCACGGCGAAUGACCUCAGCUUUUAAUCAAGUAUGUAAUCCUGAAAAACCCAGGCACAUUCCAACCUAGCCCAGAAGCUGGCACGAUCUCUUGUGAGCUGCAACCUCAGAGCGAAGCCUUCUGUCGUUCUCUCCAGGGAGAAACAUAAUCAGAAUUCCAACUUUGCGUCUGCAAUCUUCUCGGUUGUUAAAGCAUUUCCCAGCCUCCCUUGCGGAGCUGAACUCAUGACAAAGCUCAGCCACUAAGGUGACCGUGCAAAUGAAGGCAAGGGGCUUCUGGAAUGUUCUUUACCGAGAAAGCUGAGAACACCAUACAUCUUCUCCUCUAGCCUUGGCCUUCCUAGAGUGGAACUCAGAAGACAGGAAACCCAGCAGUGAUUGCUAAGGAUGACCGAGAAGAAAGCAGCUAGUUCCUCUACAGCCCUACUAAGUGCCAGCACUGGCCCCAGGGUGCUCAUCUGUGGACUCUGCCGAGAGAGCAUCGCUCUCUGAAGAAGCCACUGUGUAACUUAACAACUGGACACCAUACUGACACAAGAGAGACUCCUGCCAUUGUUGCAAGUUUAUAAUUUGUGACUAAGGACAGAACUCAAAUCAACCCUGUGUCCUUAUAGCUGUGUAUUUACACCAGUGUGCCUUGCUGCUACUAAUGGCCUGGUAAUAAGCAUUUUGAUGCACAUGUGCGCAUGGGCCCUUACAUUUCUCAAACCCUUUAUCAUUUGUGAAAUUCUCAAACCUGCUUUCUUUAGGCUUUUUGUUUUGUUCUGUUUUUCUCACAAAGAAAGAAAGGAAGGAAGGCAAGAUAAGAUGAUUCAGUAGUCCAGCCACAGGCAACAGGCUGUCAGGAAUGGUGUCUCUCCUUUUAAGUCCUUACAACAACUAUAUUCUGCCCACAAUGUCAGCAGCUUCAGCAAAUACUGAGCUGAAAGCUGGAUACAAAUGAUGACGAAUCCUGGACAGCCCAGGGUCGGGGAGCCACCCAGAUCACCCUCUUACAUCAGCUAGCUAGUCUCCAGCCUUGGAAGCAAAGAACGAAAGAAAGAAGGAAGGAAGGAGAUCUCUCAUUCGCAGGACUCGUAAAUCCUGGAUAUUGCCUGGGGCCUCAAGAAACAGGGGGCUAAGCCAGCAACUCUGGACCAUGAUGCAGGGUACAGAAAACCACCACCACCACCACCACCACCACC